rnacentral:rRNA from 1 species
UACGAACCGUCCAAACGUUAUUCGGAUUCAUUGGGCUUAAAGGGUACGUAGGCGGCGCUAUCAGUCGGGUGUGAAAUCCCUCGGCUCAACCGAGGAACUGCGCCCGAUACUGUAGUGCUUGAGGGAGACAGAGGUAAGCGGAACUGAUGGUGGAGCGGUGAAAUGCGUUGAUAUCAUCAGGAACACCGGUGGCGAAAGCGGCUUACUGGGUCUCUUCUGACGCUGAGGUACGAAAGCUAGGGGAGCGAACGGG